UUACUAUGAUGAAUGUCCAUCCUUGCGCUCUGAGCUCAACCCUGGGCAAAGCGGAUAGCCUUGGUACUUGCAACUGCGCGGCAGAUGCAAGCUGAU
rnacentral:snoRNA from 2 species